UGGUAACACUGACUUUAUUCAAUCCUUAAACAAUUACCAUGUGUUAAUAGCACAGCCUGAUGAAGCUGUGGGUUUUAUACAUAGAUAUACAUAGGUUUUAUACAUAGAUACAUUCAUUUAUGCGUGUGCAUGUUUAUACAUGUCAAAGCACUCAGAAGAUGUGGUUCUCCUGUAUCCUGUGUCCGUAUCCAGAAGACAAAGUCACACUUUGGGGCAUUCCUGCCAAACUGGGACUGACCAUGGGGUCAGCCCUGGGUGAGAUCAAGGUGGCUGUGAAGGACUGAGCCUUGACUGCUGCCAUCCUCAUGUGAGACACGGCUUUGCUCCGGAGAAUGGACACAGGAGAGGGGUUUGCCUCCUAAGAACACAGAUCUGUGCUAACCCCCUAUUCCAACCUCAUGAAGAGAUUGGAGAGAAAAAGCCAUCAGCCAGCCAGCCCUCUGAUCUUGUUCCCACCACUUGGAACCUGAUGGAAUUACAGGAAGAAAAAGCCUGGCUCCUGGGAGGAGCGAGUUUAAUAUAAACAGCCUAUAUAAACACAAACACAUACAAAAGCAGAAUCAUCUUCCAAAUAAAUAAAUAGCUGCAUUUGCUCCGGUUACACGCUAGCAGCAGUCAGCUUAAGCCCCGUGGAACAAACCUCACAACCAAGCAAGCUCACCCCUCCAGACACCUCGCCAGAGAACCUGGCAUCUCCCCCUCCCCAUAACAGCCCCCAAAAUCCUCCGGGAGGCUUGGAAGCCUCUCAGCGAGGACACCCCCCAGCUCGGGAAGCCUUCUGCUGCCGGCGAGGCCGCGGUGCCCUCCCGCAGCCGGGCCGAGGGCCUCAGCGGGGGCUGCCCGAUGUGCACAGCAGCUCUCCGCCCUGCUCGGGGCAGCUGCAGCGCUGGGAGCCGCGGAUGGUGACGGUGCCGGCGGGCACGGCCAUCUCCUCCUGGUCGUAGCACACACACUGCGGACAGCCGUCGGCCCGCGGGCUGCCCAGGGCGAGGCAGGCGGGCCCGGGGCUGGGGCAGAGCGGCGUGCAGGCGAUGUCCCCGCCGGGCCCGCAGGUGCACAGCUUGCGGCCGAAGUCGAUGUAGAAGGAGCGGCCGGCGGGGACGCUGGAGAAGCCCUGCAUGUCGCAGUCAUCGUGCAGAGGACUGGCACAGAACCCAGACAUGCUCCCCAUGGAAAAGCUGCUGCUGGAAAGGAUCUCCCUUCCCCAAGCCAAGAGCUCCCUCCUGGCUGCCCCAACUUCAGCCACAUCAGCUUCAGUCCCAUCCAUUGCCGAAACAUCUGACCCCACCCAGCAGUGAAAUUGGGCACCUUUGGCAGAGCCAAUUUCCAGCAGAACCGCGCCAUGGGUCUGGCACUGGGCAGCAUCAGCCUCCCGCUAUUUCCUGGGGAAACCUCCAUCCUCCCCCUCCCUUCUGGGGAUCCAGGCUGGCCCUGGCCCGUUCCCAGUGCCCGAGGUUCCCGGGUUACCUGCAGGGUGGCCGGGCAGGCGGGACGGGCUCUGGGGUGCGCUCCCCGCUCCUGCCCCACAGCGCGCCCAGCACCUCUAUUUAUGCGGCUGCACGGUGAAACCCUGGCGGGGGGAAAGGGGAGGCGGGGAAGCCUCCAAGGUGCUGGGCAGGGCCAGCAAGAUGCUUAUCUUGCUCGUGGUGUUGGUUCAGUCUGAGCUCAGGCUAAUCCGGCGUGUCCAGCCUCUGCAGGUCUGUCCCCACGCCGCUCUGCCCAGACUUCACCAGGGUUCCUGAAGCAUCAGCAGCCCCUUGGGCUUCACAGACUGCUGGGGACAGGGAUACCGGGGUCCACAGAAAGGGCAAAAUGAGUUAAAAGCUCUAGGAAGGCAGCACAGCUGAAAUGCAGCCAGCUCUGGGGUGAUGCACCCCAAAAUGCAGGAGCUGGUGGUGGGCAUGGACCUUCUCAGAGCACACGUCCUUGUGUCCACACACCUUCCCAGGACAGGGCAGGCCCCCUGUGCCACACACUUGAUGUGCACCCUUUAAAGCACUUGGGGUUUGUUCUCCUCUGGAUUAAGCUGCAGGGAGCCAAGGCCAUGGAUCUCAGCAGAGGAGGGGUGCACGAGUUUCAUGUGCCCUGAGCAGCACAGACAGCCUGAUCUUCUUCUUCCCAUUUGGUCCCUGGUGUGGAAAUGUCUUGCCCUGGUGUCAUGGACUCACUGGAAAUGAACCCCCAGCCUUGCAGAACAGAGGGAUGAAGAGCAGAGGCAUCUUGGGGCAGAUGGGACUGGAAAGCAGUGAGGGUUUUGGGAGCACACAGCCGUUCACCCCUUGGAGUAGGAGGUGUUAGGAGAAGAGCCUGGGCUGGAGCUGCAGGUCGAGGGAGCACUGGAGCUGGGCACUGCACUCAGGACAGUGGGCUGGGAUGCUGCCUGGCCUUCAUCCACCUCCUGCUUCCCUCUCAUGGCUCUUGGAGCCUGGAAACCCCCAUCCCUCUGGUCCAGAACCCCCACAGAGCUAGCUCAAGAGCACUGAGCUGUGCCAAGCUGGGCAGCUGCCUCUGACUGGAGGCAUAAAAUAUUCACCGAGUCUCAGUGGCAAGGAAGGGAAAAGGAACUGAAAGGAUCAUUUAUCCAGAGAGGGUCAUCACUGUCAGAGGACAGGCCCGGGGAUGUGUGGGAGGGACACUCAGACACGCUGCUCCUGCCAUUGAUGCUGUGUUUGGGCAUGUGUUUUUAGGUCCUGCAGGCAUUUCUGUACACGAGUCAAAUAAAAACUCCUCCCUUGCUUCCUGAGGCCUUUUC
ensembl:lncRNA